AAGUCGUAACAAGGUUUCCGUAGGUGAACCUGCGGAAGGAUCAUUCAAAAUUUAUUGGUUACCGUCUUGGAGUCUUAUUACCUAAGUCUCUCUCGACCUAUCACCGACAUAUUUGUGCACUGUAUAAAAAAAACCCACUCUAAUUGUCUGAUACUAUUUCUUUUUGUGUUUUUUUACUCUGUAAAAAACGUGAAUACGAAUAUAAAUAUAACUUUUAACAAUGGAUCUCUUGGCUCUC
rnacentral:misc_RNA from 1 species